rnacentral:lncRNA from 1 species
AUGGCAGGUGGCUUUCUACUACAUAAUUACUUGCAGGAGGUCAGCACCCCUGGUGAAGACAUGCCUAUCUCUGUUGUUUCUGUUUUGGCUCUCUCCGCUGUCCAGAUCCACUUCCUGCUACCAACUCUUCCAGAUAAAGCUAUGUUAUACAUUUCAUGGUAUACAUAUACUCUGACUAACAGCUUGCAUAAAUGCUCCUCAGGUCUCUAUUAUCAGCAGAAAACCAUGGCAGCCACUUCUGAAGAUACCUAGUCAUGGUGUAUAUCAAAACAACCAAAAGUCACACAGAUGCCUCAGGGGGUCGUACAGCUGUGCCCAGGUCAGGAGCUACUUGAGUCACCUGGAGUCACAGACUCUGAGCUGAGAUCAUGUCAGCCACAGACAGAGCGUUGGAUCCCAACUGGCAUGUUUGCCACCAAGGCCAAGCAGGAUGAACUCACCCCUAAGCACUGCUGCCAGGUCUCCACUGUUUGCCUACCUUGACUCUACAGCACUUCCCAUAGGAGAGGCAAGGCAAGGCCCUCUGAGGAAGAAGAGAAGAACAUGUUCUUGCCAUCUUCCACGAAGGAAGAUCAUGUCAUGCAGCUGAGCCAGCCUCUCCUGGGAAGGCCCUGAGAUGGGUCAUGAUGUCAGCACGAGUCAAUGGUAUGCACUGUCAGCAUCCCAGCUGUGUGAAGCUUCUCAGACGCAGCCACAAGGCUGGCUGAGAGCCAUGUCUGAGAGAAAUCUGCCUUUUACAGUUGAAGCAACAGUAGUUUUCCGCAGUGGGAAUGGAAAUCAAAGAGAAAUUUUGACUCAUCUGAUCUGUACUCACUUGUGAGUUGGGAGCGGUCACUGAUGGCCUCAGCAGCUAUCUCAUCACCAGCCUCGCUGAUUUUCCCUGCAGCAAGCAUUGCAUGGGUGUGCAGGAGAAGGAAAUCUCUGAUCCAGAGGAGGUAGAUUUGACGGAGGAGAAUUGAAUGAGAAAGAUUAUGGCGCUGUUGAAAGACACCUGGAAGUUUAAAAAACACUACUGAUCUACCAGUACUGAAUGAGGGCCAGCGAAUACAAAAGCACAGUGGGACUACAGAGAGAGAUGUCCUCCACAAACCUGAGGCUUUCUUCUGGAAGUGUAGGUAUCUCCUGUUACAUACACUGUGGCUUGAAAGUCAGUGGGACUUUUGCUCCCAAAAUAAAGUACCUAGGCAGGAUCUGUGCCA